UGGCGGACGGGGUGAGUAAUGUCUGGGAAACUGCCCGAUGGAGGGGGGUAACUACUGGAAACGGUAGCUAAUACCGCAUAACGUCGCAAGACCAAAGAGGGGGACCUUAGGGCCUCUUGCCAUCGGAUGUGCCCAGAUGGGAUUAGCUAGUAGGUGGGGUAAUGGCUCACCUAGGCGACGAUCCCUAGCUGGUCUGAGAGGAUGACCAGCCACACUGGAACUGAGACACGGUCCAG
rnacentral:rRNA from 1 species